AGAUUAAGUUAUUAAGGGCGCACGGUGGAUGCCUUGGCACUAGAAGCCGAUGAAGGACGUUACUAACGACGAUAUGCUUUGGGGAGCUGUAAGUAAGCUUUGAUCCAGAGAUUUCCGAAUGGGGAAACCCAGCAUGAGUUAUGUCAUGUUAUCGAUAUGUGAAUACAUAGCAUAUCAGAAGGCACACCCGGAGAACUGAAACAUCUUAGUACCCGGAGGAAGAGAAAGAAAAUUCGAUUCCCUUAGUAGCGGCGAGCGAAACGGGAAGAGCCCAAACCAACAAGCUUGCUUGUUGGGGUUGUAGGACACUCUAUACGGAGUUACAAAGGACGACAUUAGACGAAUCAUCUGGAAAGAUGAAUCAAAGAAGGUAAUAAUCCUGUAGUCGAAAAUGUUGUCUCUCUUGAGUGGAUCCUGAGUACGACGGAGCACGUGAAAUUCCGUCGGAAUCUGGGAGGACCAUCUCCUAAGGCUAAAUACUCUCUAGUGACCGAUAGUGAACCAGUACCGUGAGGGAAAGGUGAAAAGCACCCCGGAAGGGGAGUGAAAUAGAACCUGAAACCGUGUGCUUACAAGUAGUCAGAGCCCGUUAAUGGGUGAUGGCGUGCC
rnacentral:rRNA from 1 species